CGACAAUAUGCAAUAUAUAUCAAAUUGCCAACGAUGCCAGAGGAUUAUUCUGUAAACCAUGUGGCAAAGUGUUUGAGUGUGAAAAGAAGUCUCAUUUGGAACAGCAUGAACGAGGAGACAUUCACAAUAAGAACGUAAAAAACCAUUGCGUCAAAGUUUGUUAUACCAACAAUCCACUUCUGGGACAGCAAACCGGGAAUUUAAUUUGGAAAUGUGCAACGCGUUAAUUGCUGCUAACAUUCCAUGGAACAAGUUGUCUUAUCCCCAACUAAAAGAGUUCCUACAAAAAUACACUGGAAAACACAUUCCGGAUGAGUCUACGCUUCGAAAAAAUUACCUAGGGCAGUGUUUUCAAGACACCGUUGAAAGAGUUAAAAUUUACAUUGGGGACAACGAUAUUUGGAUUUCUGUCGAUGAAACAACAGAUUCAGUAGGCAGAUAUAUGGCAAAUAUGAUAAUUGGAAAAUUAGAUUCUGAAGCGGCUAGUGUCCCAAUUUUGCUUAGUUCAAAAAAAAUUAGAAAAAAACAAUAAUCUUACCAUUUCACGAUUUGUAAAUCAAAGUUUGGGUGUACUGUGGCCCGUGGGCAUCAAAUACGAUAAAGUCAAGCUUUUAAUGACAGAUGGUGCACCGUAUAUGCUGAAGGCCGGAACGAAUUUAAAAAUUUUUUACGAAAAUCUGCAACAUGUGACAUGUUUGGCGCCCUGUUUGCACCUUGUGUGUGAAUCAGUACGUAACCAGUACGAAACUGUGGGCGGGUUAAUUUCAAAUGUUAAAAAAGUAUUUUUAAAAGCUCCAACUCGAGUUGAAUUUUAUAAAUAGACCUUGCCCGAUAUUCCACUGCCACCGCAGCCUGUAUUAAAGAGAUGGGGGACAUGGAUAAGGGCCGCAUUAUUUUACGCAGAUCAUUUUGAUGACAUACACAAGAUUUGAAUUAAAUUGUUUCAUGUCUGUCAAUUAAAUAAAUAUUUCAGGUAAUCACGACUUUUACCACAGGAGGCGCACGAUGCAUUGAGUUGGUACAAAUAUAUGUUAAUAAACCACAAGUGAAGAACGACUUACUUUACAUUAAGGCCAAUUUUAAGAUAUUAUCGGACAACAUAACAAAAUUGGAAGCGUUUGGUCUGCCACUAACUGAGGCUGUAGAAAUCGCAACGCAAACAUACAAUUCAUUAUAAAAUGGUUCAGGGGAGGUUUCCAAAAUCGCGUUCAAUAAAUUACUAAGUUGUUUGGAAAAGAAUCUCGGCUUUAAAUUUAUCAAAAAAAUUAAUAAUUUAUUGUCUGGCGAGGAUGUGGACAUGAGCCCCGAACCCAUUUAUUGCGACUGGACACAUUUUAAAUUUGCUCCAAUUAUAUCAGUUGAUGUAGAA